AGUGUAGGCGGCGGCAUAAGUCCGAUGUGAAAGCCCUCGGCUCAACCGAGGAAGUGCAUCGGAUACUGUGUUGCUUGAUUUUUCGAAGGGGGUGGCGGAAUUCCCGGUGUAGAGGUGAAAUUCGUAGAUAUCGGGAGGAACACCUGUGGCGAAGGCGGCCACCUGGACGAAUAAUGACGCUGAGACUCGAAAGCGUGGGUAGCAAACA
rnacentral:rRNA from 1 species